rnacentral:pre_miRNA from 1 species
GACAUGCUCCCUCCAUCCAACAACAAAAAAUGUCUCAAUUUUGUUAAAAUUUAGAUGUAUCUAGACAUGACUUAAUGUAUAGAUGCAUUUAAAUUUGGUCAAAAUUAAGACAUCUUUUGAUGGACGGAGGAAAUAGUAC